rnacentral:lncRNA from 1 species
UUAUAGUCCACUCAAAUAAAACAAAUUAUGUAAACCUAACAUAGGAACCUUUGUUCAACAAUAUAUUCAGCCGAUUGAGGCUAAUUAUCAGUUUUCAUUUAGACAUACUCACAUACAAAGAGAAACUCCAUACAAAUACUAUUAACUUCCAGAAAUACUGAUGCCUCCAUCUCCUUGGAUGGCAAUGGAACAAAACACACAUCGCUAUUGGAGAUCUGUUCUCUAGCUUGCAUGACAUUGUUUCUAACACUCCAAAUUGUAUGCACCCACUGAGUGAUGAGGAAAUUUGCAAAGGACCUCAACUGGAUACAAAUGGACGAUCAAUAGCUAUUUUGGCAGCGAGUAACUUAUGUUCUUGUUAUCAGAUAGAGCCAAAUAUUGUCACAUUGCUUGCCAUAGAACAAAAACAUGAGGACACUAAUGGAAACAAUCUUUUCUUUUUGCUGGCCACAAGUGCAAUGCUGCUAAAGAUGACGAUAUCACUUGUUAGCUCUUGUCAUCAGAUAAUUAUUUAUAACUAUGUUUCCUGAUCAUGCAUAAAUAAGAGAGCUUUACAGAAAAGUUUACCUGUUUCAAGUGAUAAAUCCAAAUGCCUCAAAUAAGGCAACAAAUAAGCGAAGGUCACAGAUAAAAAAUUGAUCAAGCUACAUAUAUGGAUCAACUCUUCAAACUUGAAGAUGCGAUGCUGAAUCUUAACUGAGCAAAAG